AUUGAACGCUGGCUGCAGGCCUAACACAUGCAAGUCGGGCGAGCGGCGGACGGGUGAGUAAUGUAUGGGGAUCUGCCUGAUGGAGGGGGAUAACUACUGGAACCGAUAGCUACUACCGCAUACCAUCAGAUGAACCCAUAUGGGAUUAGCUUGUAGGUAGGGUAACGGCUUACCUAGGCGACGAUCCCUAGCUGGUCUGCGAGGAUGAUCAGCAAACAUGGGACUGAGACACGGUCCAGACUCCUACGGGAGGAGGGAGAGGGGAAUAUGGCACAAUGGGGGCAGGCUUGGAGGAGCAAAACCGAGAGAGUGAAGGAGGACGUCGGAGUGUAAAAUACAUGCAGUCGGGGGGCGUUACGGACAGAAGAAGCACCGGCUAACGCCGUGCCAGCAGCCGCGGUAAUAC
rnacentral:rRNA from 1 species